GGGUGAUUUGGGCCCUCAUCCUGGGUGAGGAAAUUCUGAGCUUGAGGCUGUACUUCAAUGUCUAAUUCUUUUUCCCUUUAUCCUUCCAGCUUUGUAAAGGUAAACUGGAGGCUGUGGAUCUGAUUGAAUAGCACUCCUGUCAAGAGGAUAUAAAUGCAGAGUAACUUCAAGAGCAUCUCUUGACUUACACCACCAUUCAUUGGGCAUGACUGUCAGUCCCAGACACCUCCCUGAACUCCCCUUCUCUUUUUCAGGCAAGAACCAAUCUGCUGGAUGAGUCGUAUAAACAUUUUUGUAUCAGUAGAACAAAUCCAUGUUAUACAGCGCUUUACAAGACACAGUGUUUAGUAUCACGAAUUAAUUGAGAGUAAGAAGGAGGAAAGUAAACUUGGCUCCCCCGGUGAGAAGAAGCUGAUUAUUUCAC